GUGCGGUGUCUUCUUAGCUGAGUUUCUGAGAUGCCUCAGUCCCAGGCAUCCUGAGCCCACACCACUGUGACCAUGUAGGCUCUGAGCAAACCGGGUCAAGCUACCAACCAGAGGACUCAGGGGGAGCCCUUGCUGCUGGUUUUGCCCCUUAUUGCUUUCUGGGACUAGAAGACUGUAGAAAACGAUAAAGGAAGACGUGAGGGUACAUCAGAACAUAGACCGUGUUUUGGAAGGCAGCCAAUGCAGACAAAUCAAGAAAUUAACAUUCAGUGUCUCCAUCAUCAUCACCAUCCAGAAGGGAUGCAUUCAUGGCUCUGGAUUAGCAAGACAUGGAGGAUAGAACUGUGCUGGUAUUUACUGGUGGCCACCCUUCUCCUGUGCCUGAACAUCAUCUUGCUGCGCUGGGUGGGAUCUUCUCUUUCAGUGAAUAUUUUCCCCGGGCUAUGGCUCUUCAGUCAGCUGUCAACCUAAUGCUCAUCCAAAGAAAAGGAGCUUCUACCCACAGCUGAAGGGAUAAUUUGCUGGAUUAGUGAGAGAAGGAAUUCAAGAUUUAAAAGGACACCUCCCCAAAAGCACAAAACAUUAAUGCUUCAGUGGUGUAUUAGGUUUUACCUGAAGACAUUAGUGUACAACUUAGGAAAUUUACUAAAGAAACUAGUAGAAUCAUUAUUGAAGAAUCCUAUCUUCUUUAGCUUUUGAGAAUUUUUACCAUAUAAAACUUCUUUGGCAUACACAGCUGUUUUGUGACUGAAAAUUUCAACUUGGAAAUGGGUUGAAGAUCUCUAUAUAAGUAGAGUUUAAUCACUGAGCACGAGAAAUCAACUCAAACAUAUACAGCUUUCCAUCUUGCCCUUGGGAACAGCAAUUCAUGAAAUAAUAAGAAAAGAAAAUCAACACAGAGAUAAAAAGGAAGACUGGGAUGAUCAAAGACUCUCGACCUACAUUUAUCUGUAUAAAAUUUGUUUAUUAGCAGAAACUUCAAAUAAAUUGUGUCAUUAAAAAAAAACAGCAUGAUAUAGCAACCAUUAAAGUAAAACCCAAAUAAUGUUAUGCUAUCUCAGAAAUGUUCCUACACAUUCGUUUCACUUAUGAAAGACACCUAAGAAGCAGAAUUGACUGGCUAGACUUCAAACAUGUGAAACUUUAAAGUAACAAUAAAAAUAAAUGUGCAUGGGCUUUAGAAUGGAAAAUCCCUUUCAGGAGCCUUCCAACUGACUUUAUAAGCCUACAGACCAAGGUUAUUAGAAUAUCAGCUGCUGACUGACUAAUUACUAAGGAUCCUGGCUUCUUCUAGAGAAAAAAGUAUUACCCACUGAACAAAGGAUUUAAAGUAAAAGAAAAAAUAAGAAAUCAAUAAUAAUUAUUCAAGAUUGCUUAAUCUUGGAUAGAACCUUUGGGUGACAGUUAUCAUUAACCAUUUUGUGUGUGUGUGUGUGUGUGUGUGUGUGUGUGUGUGUGUGCUUUUACAUAAAUAUAUAAUAUAUACAAAAUACUCAAGCUCCUGAAAUUUUCUCACAGAAAGUCUACAUUAAAUUUUAUUUCUUCACAUUUCUGUCUCAUAUUAACAGCUAAGGUACAGCUCAUGGUAAUGAUGACUGACCUCUUCAGAAGUUAUGGGAAAAAGAUGAUUAUGAAAAUUAUUUCAUAUUUGGAAAAUCACACAGGUUUCUUCUGCAAGUUAUUUACUCUGGGAUAUUCAUUAAAGCAACAGUGUAAGUUCUGGGUAAAGAUGCAGCAAAACUCUGGAUUCCUUAUAAUUUAAGAGAAAAAGGUAGCAAUGUAAUUUUUGGACUAAACACUUUCUUAGUCAUCUUAGUAUCCUCCCAAACAAGAAUUUCAAUCAUUGUCUGAACUUUUACCCUGGAUCCAUGAAUGGAUAAAAUAUUACAAGCAUUGGCACACAGCAAAAAAUAGAUGCUAGGGAUGAUGAAAAGUAAACAUUGUUCUCCUUGGGGUGCAUAUGAUGCACUCAUGUGAAUUAUCUAGAUUUGUAAACAGGCAAGAUUUUUUCAAGUAAAUGGGUGACACCAUCAAGAGUACCAUAUUGGUUACCUCUGUGUCACUGUGACAAAAUAACAGACAGAAACCAAAUGGAGGAAGAAUUUAUCUUAGCUCACAUUUCAGAGGAUUUAUUCUGUGGUCACUUGAUUUAUGUUUCUCUGUCUACAGAGGUCCAGAACGUCAUGAUGUAGGAGCAUGUAAUAAACGCAAGGUUUUCACACCAUGGCAGACAGGACACAGAAAGAGAGGCAGGACAUUGGACAAAGACACUUAUUGACUAACUACCUCUAGCUAGAUACUAGCAAUUCAUUUAUUCUCUAUUGAGUUUCUUCAUAUGAAAAACUUGAUAAAAAAUACUUUCUGGAGAUAACCUAGAAGACCGUCUUUCUCACUGUCAAGCCAUGUUUUCUCUGUGGAUGAAUAAGUCCUUUGUACCUAGCCAAUGAAUGCUAGCAUAUAGGAACUAAACUCUUUGGACUGACUGUUGCAUACCUGGAAAUCCAGUAUAUAAAUCCUUGUCUGUUGUGGGGAUGUUGUGUUUAUGAUUUUGAUGAAGUUGCUUAGAUUUUACACUAAUACAUGCAUACUGGUUAUGACGUUUUUAUUCCAAUCAUUGUCUAAACUUUCACCCAGGAUCCAUGAAUGGCUAAAAUAUUGCAAGCAUUGGCACACAGCAAAAAUGAAGGCUAGGGAUGAUUUUGCUGAGAACUUAACCAAAACCAAAAGCAAAUAAAAAAUAAUAAGUAGGACCAAGUAAAAAGAAAACUCUCCCAAAGCAAGCAGAACAGAGACAAAGUUUUAGAGAGAUGCAAGCUAUGUGGAAGAUGAGGACGGGAUCAUCAUGGUGCUGGCUAUGCCAUGGUACCUGAGAAAGGGACCUUCAUAAAGGAUAAGCAAAUUUAGAGCGAAACUCUACAGCCAAGUCACUCUGGCAAGGAAGUACAAAAGUUAGUAAUGGAAUACUGUUUCCUAACCACAAAGGCUGCCUUCCACCUUCCUGGAUUAAUAGAAUUAUGAUGCUUAAUAGAAUUAUGAUGCUAAGAAUCUUGAGAACACCCUUACAGGCAUAAGGAAAUAUGACUUGUUAAUAGCCCUAUGUUAAUCGUCUCAACUCUCCCACAAAGAGAUACAGCCCAGCUGAUGGUUUUCAUUAGUUUAUAAAUGAUUAGGUUGGAUUAUGGCAUCUUUCAAGUAAAAUGUUUUGUUGAUUCUCCCUUUCAACCUUCCCUUAUGUUCUGAGAACCCGAGAGGGAAACAAGGGAUGUUUUCUCCCUCUUUACUUGUGGACAAAUGCUUCUGUUUUCCUUAGCCCGACUCCAGCUCUAACACUGGAUGGUUUCGUUUUGUACUUGAAAACCAGCACAGUCCCUCUGCCCCAGAUGAGAGGAGACUGCUUCUGUCCUUGGAAGUGGUCUCAAUACGGACCACAUGCCUUUUCUUUCUGGUUGCUCUCAGGAUUCUUGUUUUUGCUGUUAUAUGUGGCUAUGAUGUGUCUUAGAAUGGAUUACUAUUUUUUUUAUUGUACAUUUUUUUUGUUUUUCAUUUUUGUUGUUGUUAGCUUUCUGAACCUGUCUUUUGACUAGUGAUUUCUAGCUGUUGUGUCUUUAAAUAUUCUUUCUGCCCAUUCUCUUUCUCUCUCAUUCUGGGGAUCUAAUGACAGCACACACAAAGAUACAGACCUUAUCAUUAACUGUGGUCAUCCUGCAGGUGAGAAAACCUCCCUUCUCCAUUUUCUCGGGAUGGCACUUACUCUGAACUGUGCUCUCUGUCUGGGCAAGGGGCUGCAGCAUGUGGUACAGCUGCAUCCUGUGUAUGUCUGAUGGCCUUUGUUGUAGCUAUGAUUUAUUUGUUCAUUUUACAACCCAGAUGUCUUUAAGUAGGACACAACAUUGAGGUUCACUGUAGGCCCUGUGGCUUGGUUACUUAGCCUAGCCCCAAAUAUUUAAUAAGUACAAACUACAUACUAUGUCUGCCUGUGGUUUUCAUUCUCCAUUGCUUAGUGAUGCACUGAUUGUCCAUUUUUAUGUUUUCUUCCCAGAAAUGCCUACUUAGGUCUACUACACAUUUCAGAAUGAGGUUGCUACUGUUAAUUCCUCUUACCACUUUGAACAGGAGAAUGAACAAAUACAUUUAUUCAUUUGAGUGAUGAGGACUGAAGCCAGUGGCUUAUGCAGACAGGCAUCUGGUCUACCACAGACUUACAUCUUCACUUUUAUCCGUAUUGACCUUUUAUUUUCAAGCAGCUUAGAGAUGAAAUGACUUUAAUGCCUAUUGCUUUCUAGCUGAAGGGCACGGGAACAUGUGCUGGCACUCUGACAUAACUCUUACUUGGACAGUCAGGGAGGCUUUACGCAGGGGGUGCUCUGUCUCACAUAGGAUACAGGGAGGCAAGUUUCAUGAAAAUUGUAAGCCCUUCCCCAUUCUUAUUUUGGGGAAGGAACACUGGCUUCCAGUGGCUAAAGUGCAGGCUGACAGUCUUUUCUUAGUAUUUCCAUAUGUAUGCUGCCUUUCUGCUUCCCCCACACACCCCACUGCUGGAAGCAGAGCUUACCUGAUAAGCUCCACUGUCUCUGAGUACAUGGUGAAUGGAUUCCACUGGACCUUGUUCCAUUGCAUUUCCAUAUUUGAUGAAGGACAAGGGUGCUUCAGCAUAGUUCAGGACUUUCCCCACCUGACCAACAGAGUCAGUAAUAUGUUCUUUAAUAAGAGAUUUUUUUUUUAAAAAAUGGGUCACCAUUAUAGAGUUUAUGUUUUGAGAAACCCAGAAUUUGAUCUCUAAAAUCCUGUGCAACAGAGCUGAGGAAAAAAUAGAAAUGUAGUUUUCCCUGCCACCCAUAGGUCAUUUUUCAUGAUUUCAGAGACCUGAAAUAUCAAUAUGGUCUAAGUGUUAUGAGGCAAAAUCCAGAAACAAACAGUUCUUGAGCUCAUACAUUUUAUCAUAGCUUUCUAUUAUAGUUGCCCUACAUUAUCAUUAGUUGCUAGUUAUUGUUAAUUUCUUUCUAUGCUUAACUGAAAUUCAAAAUAUGCAUGCAUAUGAAAACCAGUAUAUAUAAGCCUUUGAGCAUUCUACAACUUCAAGAAAUGCUAUGGGAGCAUGGAGCUUAGAGCCCAUCUCCGUUGGAUAAAGGGGAUCUAGUUCAAAGCCUCUCCAGUUAUUCGCUCAGGUUGUAAGUUUGAAGCCAGUGAGUGCUUACAACUAGAAUUUAAGUAACAGCUGCCAAUGCAAUGCAAAAGCUUCGACUUUGCAAACCCUGGCAUUCAUUACUUGCAAAAUGCAGACUCAUUGGCAAAGACCCACAUAGCAUAAAACAAAGGUGCAAUGCUGUCUACCAAGUACAUAGAAGUGUGACACAGAUAUUUUUAUGAAGCCCUAUUGUUAAUACCUAUUUCCAAUAAAGCAGAUUUCAAGUCAAAAUUAUUUUAAAGAGAUAAAAAGGUCACAAUAACAGGUAUGGUCUUCCAAGAAGAUAAAGAUGAUAAACACACACAUGCACCAAAGGUUGGGAGUACCUAAUUUCAUAAGUUGAACAGAUAAGGCAAGGUAAAAUAAACUGUGGUUGACUUCCAUAGCCCAUUCUCACCAGUGGACAGGUCAUUCAGAGUAAAACAAAACAAACAAGCAAUCAACAACAACAGUGGGACUUUAAACUGUAUCACAGAGCAAGUGGACUUGACACACACCUACAGUUCAUUCGACCCAGCAACUGAAGAAACACACACUCUACUAAACAGCCCAGCAGUCUGCUCCAAUAGAGACAACAUUACAGGCCACAAGUCAAAGCUUUAUAUAUACAAAUGAAUCAAAAUUAUAUUCUGUGUCUUAUUAGACCACAGUGGAAUAGCAUUAGUCUGAUAACACAAUAAAUGAUAGAAACUAUAUAAAACUGUGGAAAUAAAACAAUAUCCUCCUGAGGAUCAGUGCAUUGUUGAAGCAAUUAGGGAUUAAAAAUAUAAAAUUCUUAUAAUCAACUGAGAAUGAACUAAGGGGAACUUUAGAAUACAUGAAAGGCUAUUCAAAAAGAAAAGUCUACAACUAUGUGCCUAUGUUAAAAACUCAGAAAACUCUCAAAUAAACCAAUGAUUUGCUUUGUCUUAGACACACAAGUAAAAAGUAAAUCUAAAAUUAGUAAGCGAAAAGAACUAAUAAAGCUCAGAGGAGUAAUGAAUGAAGUGGAUCCUAAAGCUUUCAUACAAAGAAUCAGGGUAACAGAGCUGGGUCUCUGAAAAGAUACAUAAAUCAACAUAUCCUUGCCAAAAGUAAUCAAAUGAAAGGGGAGGAUCCAAAUUAAUAGCAUUAAAGAUGAAAAUGGUACCAUUAAAACAAUAUUAAUGAAUUUUAAAAGAUCACUAAGGGAUACUUUAGAAACCUAUAUUCCAAUAAAUAGAAAAUUUCAUAAGAAAUUAAUAACUUAUAGAUAUGUGACUUAUAAAGAGUAAACCAAUAGGAUAUAAUAAUCUAAAACUAACUUAACAACAAUGAAUGAAAUCAAGGCAGAAAGUCUACCAACUCAGUAAGGGUCUGGACAAACAUAUUUGAAGAUGAAUGAACUAACAGCAAUACUCCUCAGUCAUUCUGUAAGGGGACUGGGAAGGAAUUCUACCAAACUCAUUCUCUGAAACCAAAAUUAUCCUGAUAUCAAAACCAUAUAAGCACACACACACAUGUACACACACACACACACACACACACACACACACACACACACCCCAGAGAAAGGGAGAAGGGAGUGAAAGUUAGGAAAGUAAAAACUAAUUUUCCUGAGGAAAAUAGAUGGUAAAAAUUAUCAAAUAUAUUUGAAAACUGAAUUAAACAACAUGUUCUGACAAGACAACACAUAUUGCAUAAAUGUUUAAAUAAGUAUAUUCAUAAAAAGUAAACAUCACAUAAAUAGACUUUAGGACAGAAAUCACAGGACCAUCUCAGAUAUAAAGAAUCUUCACCAAAAUCCAAGGUCAUCAUUAAAGCCCUAAAGAAACAAGGAAUAGAAGUAACAUAUCUAAAAAGUCUAAUACUGUGUAGGACAAACUUAUUCUUAACACUGAAAGCACUUAAUCUGAAGUUGAGCACAAAGGAGAAAGAAAAUGUUCAUUAUCCAUUCCUGUCCAAUAUCAUGUUUGAAGUUUUAGCCAGAGCUAUAAAGCAAAGUAAAUAAAUAAAAAGGUGUAGAAAAAGAGUAAAU